rnacentral:lncRNA from 1 species
CCUUCUCUCUCUUACCUACCACUGCCUUCCUUCCACUUGGCAGGGCUUAGUGACAUUGGUGAUCUGCCCAGGACUUGCAGCUGAAGGAACACAGUAAAUUCUACAAUGAAAUUUUGUGUUGGAACUACAUCCAUAUUUCCAAAUCUUUCUGGAAUGUUCUGUCAUCUGUGGAGCUGGGCCAAAAACCAGGUAGACUACGGAGUCAACCAGGACCAAAGGAGAAGGGUGAGGUGCGGUGACCUUGGGGCAGAGGUCACCCUGAGGCACAGAGGGUGAAGCGGGCCAGGGAAGCAGCCAGGGAAACCGGGCCGUGCCCCAACCAGUGUAGUCUUGUUUCUUGGGUGAGUGGAUAUAUAUGAGAGUUUCAUCUUGUGCUUUGCGGGCAACACUGCUGAGGCCACACCGCCCACGCACCUGCUCCAUGGAUGGCGUUGUGUGAGGUACUGUGCGGUUUUCUUCCAAGACAUUGACCGUCUCUGCCUUCGAAGAGUUUUGUUUUCAGAAGUAUAAAACAGCAAAUGAGGUUUCCUUUGAACCUCAGUCUUUGCUUUAAAUAUGCAGAAGGG